UCUCUCUCUCACACACUUCUCUCUUCAUUCUCUAUUACGCAUUUCAUCAAACACCUUACAUACACUCUCUCAAACUCUUAUUUUCUUUCAGAAAAAUGUCGACAACAGCAUUUGAGUUCGAUGGGGCUAAAUUUGUCACAAAUAACUAUGCUGCCAUACUUGACAACGAUGAAGCCCCCAAGGAGUUUCAUCUGACACAGGAUUUUCUGGCUCACAGCGAGCUGAUGUAUGCUCUGACUCAACCAGAGUCUAUUUCUC
rnacentral:lncRNA from 1 species